CGUUCCUCUCCAAUUGGAUGCUGCCUUGUUAUGCUGAAUGCCAGUCAACGGAUUCCUAAAAAUAUCCCCUGACAGAAGUCAUCCUCUUCCAAGGGCCCUGGAGAAUGUUUUCCACAGAAAGGGUAAGGCGCAGAGUGGGGCCGUGCUUCUGGGAGAUAAACAAGUUAAAAUGAAGCCAUUAGGGUGGCUCCUAAUCCAAUAUGGCUGGUGAACUAUCAAGAAGAGGAAAUGUAAACACAAAUAUAUACACAGAGGGAGACCAAGUGAGGACGCAGGGAAAACGCUGUCAUCUAUAUGCCGAGGACAGAGGCCUCGGAAGGAACCAGUCCUGCCAACACCCUGACUUCCAGCCUGCAGAACUGGGAGAGAGUACGCUUCUGUAAAGUAGCUUGGUUUGCAGUGCUUCGUCACAGAAGCUCUGGCAGGAUUUCUGCCAAAUUCAACUUGUUGGAAGGAGUGGUUUACUAUUCUGAGCAUAAAUGUUAACAAAUUGUGGCGUGAAGCUACACUUUUCAUGACAUUUGCCAAGAACAUGUUUCUCCCAUGAAGUCUCUGUCUCCACCCAUGAAGGCCUCCGGGGAAAAGUCAUUUCAUUUCUGGAAACAAUUUAGCAUCAAACGUGGGGCUGCAACUGGUAUCUCUUCGUUCAGCUAGUUAUUUUCUUCAAAUCCAUUAUUAUUCUCACUUAAGAGCAAAAUGAAUUCUCAAGUGGUAUCUUACCAUUUCCAACCAAAAAUAUUCUGUCCGAGCCAAAUUUUAGGUCAAUAAAUUAAGUUCCCUGUGUUAACAAUUAAAAGACAAAAAGCAGAGAGGGAGGUGUGUAAUUGGAUUAGGUUCAAGGCCUUUUUAAACUAGUCUGUGUUCAUACGGCUGAGUUAUAAUGUACUAGGGAAAUAUAUAAGGUCCAGGGCAAUUACUGAAUUUUGUUUAUAGUGGAAAAGGAAAAAUCCUCUUGAGAAUAAAUGUAUUUUAAAAGAAUCAGCUAUUCUAAGCCUUUUUACUUGGUGUUUCUUAUAGAAAAGAGGUUUAGGAUACCAGAUUCAAGAAAACACAAAUUUUACAUCAUUUUUUUUCCUUGGAAGAAUUUCCUAAGAUAUGCAAGUAGAUAACUACACUCCUUCCUCCUCCUCCCCCUUCUUCACUUUUAUCUAGUUCCUUAUUCUCCCACUAGUCAAGUUUAUUCCGCGUCACAGAA